rnacentral:rRNA from 1 species
UACGAAGGAGGCGAGCGUUGUUCGGAAUUACUGGGCGUAAAGGGCGCGUAGGCGGUGUGCCAAGUCAGGCGUGAAAGCCCCGGGCUCAACCUGGGAACGGCGCUUGAGACUGGCACGCUCGAGUUCGGGAGAGGAUGGUGGAAUUCCCAGUGUAGAGGUGAAAUUCGUAGAUAUUGGGAAGAACACCGAUGGCGAAGGCAGCCAUCUGGACCGACACUGACGCUGAGGCGCGAAAGCGUGGGGAGCAAACAGG